UGGGGAAUUGUUCGCAAUGGGCGCAAGCCUGACGACGCAACGCCGCGUGUGGGAUGAAGGUCUUCGGGUCGUAAACUCCUUUCGAUCGAGACGAAUGGCCUCCGGGUGAACAAUCCGGAGGAGUGACGGUACCGAGAGAAGAAGCCCCGGCUAACUCCGUGCCAGCAGCCGCGGUAAGACGGAGGGCGCAAGCGUUGUUCGGAAUUACUGGGCGUAAAGCGCGGGCAGGCGGUCUGUUAAGUCGUUUGUGAAAAUCCGGGGCUCAACCCCGGAAAUGCAUACGAUACUGGCAGGCUGGAGACUGGUAGAGGCUAGCGGAAUUCCUGGUGUAGCGGUGGAAUGCGUAGAUAUCCGGAGGAACACCAGUGGCGAAGGCGGCCUGCUGGGCCCAAACUGACGCUGAGGCACGAAAGCGUGGGUAGCAAACAGGAUUAGAUACCCAUGUAGUCCCUGAGCGGGCUGGCAAGGCGCAU
rnacentral:rRNA from 1 species